rnacentral:rRNA from 1 species
UACGUAGGGGGCUAGCGUUGUCCGGAAUCAUUGGGCGUAAAGCGCGUGUAGGCGGUUCGGUAAGUCCGCUGUGAAAGUCGGGGGCUCAACCCUCGGAUGCCGGUGGAUACUGUCGGGCUAGAGUCCGGAAGAGGCGAGUGGAAUUCCUGGUGUAGCGGUGGAAUGCGCAGAUAUCAGGAGGAACACCGAUAGCGAAGGCAGCUCGCUGGGACGGUACUGACGCUGAGGUGCGAAAGCGUGGGGAGCGAACAGG